AGCAGCCGCGGUAAUUCCAGCUCCAAUAGCGUAUAUUAAAGUUGUUGCAGUUAAAAAGCUCGUAGUUGAAUUUCGGGAUCAGUUGAUCGGUCGUGCCUCGGUACGUACUGGUCAAAUUGAUUCCUACCUUCUGACGAACCACGAUGUCAUUAAUUUGGUGUCGUGGGAAAUCAGGACUGUUACUUUGAAAAAUUAGAGUGUUUAAAGCAGGCUCGCGCUUGAAUACAUUAGCAUGGAAUAAUGAAAUAGGACGUUUGAUUCUAUUUUGUUGGUUUCUAGGAUCGACGUAAUGAUUAAUAGGGAUAGUUGGGGGCAUUAGUAUUCAAUUGUCAGAGGUGAAAUUCUUGGAUUUAUUGAAGACUAACUACUGCGAAAGCAUUUGCCAAGGAUGUUUUCAUUAAUCAAGAACGAAAGUUAGGGGAUCGAAGACGAUCAGAUACCGUCGUAGUCUUAACCAUAAACUACGCCGACUAGGGAUCGGAUGAUGUUAAUUUUUUAAUGACUCAUUCGGCGCCUUACG
rnacentral:misc_RNA from 1 species